rnacentral:snRNA from 1 species
GUGCUGGCUUCAGCAGCACAUAUACUAAAAUUGGAACGAUACAGAGAAGAUUAGCAUGGCCCCUUGCGCAAAGAU